GAGGGAGACCUACUAAGCAGCUACUUGAAAGCACAUAGCGAAUAGAGUGUUGUUGUAGUCACCUAAGGUCGUUGAGGGUUUUGUUAGUUUUAGUGAACCGAAUCAAAUCGGCGAACCUAUCUUCAAGUUAUUUGGGUGUUGCGACACCAAGUAUUAGCGGGCUAUUAGCUCAGGUGGUUAGAGCGCACCCCUGAUAAGGGUGAGGUCCCUGGUUCGAGUCCAGGAUGGCCCACUUUCGAGAUUGAUAUCUAAUUGGUAUUUAAUUAAGGGGGUAUAGCUCAGUUGGUAGAGCGCCUGCUUUGCAAGCAGGAUGUCAGCGGUUCGAGUCCGCUUACCUCCACCACAAAGUUUUUGCCCAACUAAUCAUUAAUUGAGUCAAACAGAAAUCAGCAACUAAUAAUGCUUCUCCCUAAAGAGAACAAAACAUGGCAUUAUAGACUGCUGGUCUUUCGAGACUAGUAAGAACCUUGACAACUGCAUAGAAAAGAGAAAGAAAGCAAAGGUAGUUCAAAGUCUGAAUAAGACAUUUGAAAUUCAAAAAGCCCAGCUUUUACACAAACCAGCUAAAUAGAGCGAGCCUGUAGCGAGAGUUGCGAGUGAGCGAUUGAAAGUUGGUGAAUGUAGAAGAUGUAAGCAAAAAGAUUUUCUUAAAAAGAAGGU
rnacentral:tRNA from 2 species